rnacentral:lncRNA from 1 species
AUAUCUCAGGGUCUUGUACAGACAAACAGGGUAAGUGGAGAACACGCUGUCCUUUACCUUAAAAACACUUUAAAAUAACGACAAAUCACGAUUAAACCCGUGUCAGGUAGGUCUACGUGACCAGAAGAGUAUGGCGAUCACAGUUUGACGAUAAAGUCGCGUUUUAAUAGUUCUUUAAUCGUGUUUAAAGUGAAAGUUGCAGUGA